ensembl:miRNA
GCUGGGAUGUGUCAGGUAGGCAGUGUAUUGCUAGCGGCUGUUAAUAAUUUUAACAGUUGCUAGUUGCAUUCCUCUCUGUUGCAUUCAGAAGC